CGUCCGGGCUCUGUCCGGCCCCGCCCCCCAGCUUCUGUCCCCCAAGACGAAUUCCGGCGGCAGGGAGCCGGCGCCGUCCGCCCAGCGCCCCCAGAGGCCGGCGGGGGACCUGACGGCCGGGACCCGGACUGGCGGCUGCUGUAGUGCAGUGACACUGCCUCUAUUCAGUCGUUAAUUCAUCGAGUGUAUCGUGAGCGCCGAUCCUGUGCCAGGUGCAGGACCACGUACCGGGAAAAGGAGACGCAUGAUUCACCCUAGCUGCCCAUUGGGAGGUCACUGCCUAGAGGAGCAGGCAUCUGACGCAAAAAUGACAGCGCGGGGAGAGCUGUCACAGAGGAGCUACAGGAGCGCAGCAGACUUGGGGGCGUUUAACGUGGGCGCAGUGGGCGCCACGGAGAACUUCUGGAGUCGCUUAUGUCUGUGUUGAGGUUUGAAGGACUUGGGAGGAAAGGAUGAAGAAAACCUGGCAAAGCCCUGACCUGUUUGGCUCAGUGGAUAGAGCGUCGGCCUGCGGACUGAAGGGUCCCAGGUUCGAUUCCGGUCGCGGGCACAUCCCCAGUGGGAGGUGUGCAGGAGGCAGCUGAUCGAUGUUUCUCUCU